CUCACUGUCUUUAGUUAUAUAGAUAAGGAUAUCCAGAAAACUUUCACAAUUAGGAUGUAACAGGAUACCUUAAGACCGAUAUUAUCCUCACUUUAGAGAUGAGGAAACUGAGAUCCGGAGGGGUGACAUCCUUUACAAAAGAGCAAGAGCCCCCUGCCUCCUAAGAAAUUUCUCUUUCCCUAAGCUGCAGUCUCCCUGAGCACUGCUUCUGAGCUGAGGCACCAGCCCAAGUCUGGCGGCAGCCACACCAGAUCUCGGUUCUUCUCUAGCAUCAGCACAGUUAUCUCUGCCAAACCAACCUAUGACUCCAGAAGGAUCUGCUGAGCCAAGCCUGAGACAGGAAACACCAGCCCCAUGGUCUCUCCACCUUGAAUCAGAAACGGGUGGCGCACUGGAUUUGGUCCACCCGCAGGGUGAUGAUCCCUGACCUAACUGGAGCGCUGCUAGAAGACGAGGUGACAGGCGCGACGCUGCUCUGUGGACUGUACAGUGUGGAUCAUUUGCGAGGAACUGGAGGGGCAGCUGCUAUGGUAAUAAAAUAAAGCUCAGCGCAGC
rnacentral:lncRNA from 1 species